GGCCCGGUAGUUUAGCUGGUUAGAAUGCCGCCCUGUCACGGCGGAGGUCAGGGGUUCAAAUCCCCUUCGGGUCGCCA
rnacentral:tRNA from 1 species